AUGAAGAACUUGAAAGACGCUAAAACAAAAAUUUAUCCCUCAACUACGAGGGGAGGUAAGGAACUGCCAUCUAGCUUUGCACUUGAUUCACCUUCUGUUUUGAGUAAGCUUGCGACACCUAUACGUGCUUCUGCUAUUAAUUCUGAUAUGUCGCAUGUUGUUGAUGAUGCCACUUCUGCUAUGCAUGAUACUUAUGAUGAAACUACUUCUAUGCUUGAUACUACUGUGCCACUUGGUGAAUUUCUUGAUGAACAACUUGCUAGGGCUAGAGAGAAUGAAAUUAUUGAAACUGAUAAUAUUGAUGAAAGUGAUGAUGAAGACUCCCCCCCUAGAUAUGAAUUACCUGUUGUGCCUGAGGGCUAUGUUAUGGAUGAAGAAACUUCUAGAGAUUUUCUUGCUUGCAAUGAUAGGAGUGAUAUUAAGAAAUUAUUAGCUAAGCUGAAACAAAAAACUCGGAAUGCUAGAACGAAAUAUGAUCCUUCUUAUGCUAUUUCACCUAUCUUUUUACUGAUAAGGAUUAUGAUUCCGUGUUGA
rnacentral:rRNA from 1 species